rnacentral:tRNA from 1 species
UCCUUGAUGGUCCAGUGGUUAAGACUUUGCCUUCCAUUGCAGAGGAUGCAGGUUCAAUCCCUCCUCAAGGAG